rnacentral:lncRNA from 1 species
ACAAAUCUUCAGAAGCUGAGCCUCCUGACUUCCAAUCAGUACUGUCUCCCCACAUGGUACCGUGGAGGUACACAGGAUGGAUUCAGGUGACCCUCAGAUGGACAGAACUUACUGCAACAUCUAGAGUCUCUUCUGGCUUUUAUUAUAACAGUACUCUUCCAUGAAAUAAAGUCCACUUGAGGAUAAGAGUUAAAGGAACUGAGGUGAUGGUCUGGUUCCAUCACCCAGGCUGGACGGGAGUAGCACAAUCUCGGCUCACUGCAACCUCCACCUCCCAGGCUCAAGUGACUCUCCAACCUCAGCCUCCUGAGUAGCUGGGAAUGCAGAUGUGUGCCACCACGCCUGGCUAAUUUUUAUUGUUUCUUAUUUUCUUUGUAGAGAUGGGGUUUUGCCAUGUUGCUGAGGCUGGUCUGAAACUCCUGAGCUCAAGCAAUCCUUCUGCCUUGGUCUCCCAAAGUGUUGGGAUUACAGGUGUGAGCCACCACACCCGGCCAGUACAUAAAGUUCUGUAAGAAUUUCUUUGAGGAGAAAGCCCCCAGGUGUUAUUAUAGUCAGUGUGUGUUUGUGUGUAUGAUGCAAUAAAAAUGGAAAAAUAAUGAGUGGA